rnacentral:lncRNA from 13 species
AUGGACCAAAGGCUCGGGCCCAGAGUUGAAAGAGGAGCCUGGUAUCUAAGCAACCUGUUCCUGUUGGUUUGGCUUCGAGAUGAAAGUGAAGACAUGGAUUCCACUACUGGGCAGCUGGGCUCCUCUCAGGGCUCUCCUGUGAGAGAUGAGGAGUGGACUUUCAGGCUUCCCCCCCUCGCACCACGGGCAGAUGAGGGUCUGCUGCAGGCCUCGUCCCGCGGAGGGGGCCCAGCGCCCCCGCAGCCGCCUUCUCCUGGAGUCUGUGUGACAGAAUGGGACCUGUGGGAAAGCAGCACGUCAGCACCCAGCCCUGCUUGCGCGCCAGCAGCUAAUUAAAGCCAGGAAGGUAAUUUAUUGCUGAGGGAGAAUGUGCGGGAGGUUUGGCUGAGCUGAAAUGGCCCCCGAAGAGUUAUGGAAAGCUAAAGUGGGUUUUCAGAAGCAAAAGUUAAUUGCUCUUCACUUAGCAUUUCAGUGUCAUGUGGCUCUGAGUUACACCCGCGGAGUGGAAGCCUCUCCCGGGCAGGGGAUGGAGGGGCGUGCUGGAGCCGGGCUCCCCAGUGGCUGGGGGCGGCAGGCUGGAAGUGUCCCACCUCUCUCUCCACACGAGGCACGAGGGUGCUGGCUCCCUGGACUCUCAUACCCAAGUCCGGGCGGGACUAGAAGGCAUUUGUGAAUUGAGGGUUUCUUCGCGUUGGUCCUGGUCAGGGAAUCCAAUAACUGUGGGAGGGGGUUGGGGGCGGGGCUCCUAGUUCUGCACUGACAGCUCUGUGACUUGAGGGCGUUCUUCUGUUUAAUGAUCACUAAAGUACAUCAUCACUUCUGGCAUCCAGUCACUUCUCUGAGAGUGCGAUUCGCAUCUCCUGGUGGAUACUAUUUAUGCCGUGCGACCCAUUUGGCAGAGGGGAAGACUCAGGUCUGAGAUGCCCUAUACCCCUCAUGCCCCGACCGCGUGUAUGGAAGAUACGGGAGUGACCUGACUCUUAGCUGAAAGCAAAUGGAUUUGCCACCUGGAAACAGGAGCUUCUUGGGUCCUAAAAUACGUCGCGGACACUUUGCGGGUGGUGUGCUUACUGUUCUUACGGGUAAAAGCAUUUGGGAGAGAGGGUUAAAAAGCUCGAAUCGGAGUCUCCCCAGCCAGAGGGGUGGAAAAUUCUUUCACUGGGAAAGAGGCCCCAUGGAAAAGGAAGAGCUGCCUUGCCAAGGAACCGCUGCAUCUAAAGGCUCUCAUUAUGCUAACUAUAGGUGUGACUUGGAUUAGGUGCUAAACAUUUAAAAUGACUUCUAUUGGUUAUGCUUAAGGAAGUGAGUGGAGACGCUCCCAUGUGAUCUCCUUGCCACAUUUUGGAGGACAAGGGUAGUGGGUGCCAAUGGGAAGGUGGAGGUUCUGCACUUAACAUUUUCAGCCUGGGCUUGUUCAUAUGUAGUAACUCUUUCUGGAGAUACAGUGAAGUCCCAUCUCAGUAAGGUGUUGCCUUCUAAAAUCAGUGGAGAGGCAGGAGGCUUGCUUGAGCCCAGGAGCUUGAGAUUGGCCUGGGCAACAUAGCAAGACCCUGUCUCUACAAAAAAUUAGAAAAUUAGCCAGGUAUGGUGGUGCACAUCUUUGGUCCCAGACAUUCGGGAUGCUGAGGCAGGAGGAUUGCCUGAGCCCAGAGGAUUGCCUGAGCCCAGGAGUUCAAGGUUACAGUGAGCUAUGAUUGCAUCACUGCAUUUCAACCUGGGUGACAGAGCCGGACCUGGAGGGAUGCAUUCAGUCAAGUCAAAAGUAUUUUAGAGAAAUCUUAUAUUGCAGGGAUUGCUCCUGGAAACUUGAAAAUGAAGAAUUCUUGUUUUGUUUUUGUCAACAUUUUUACUCUGUUGUCCUUCCCCGGGAGUGACUAAAGAGCAAGUUCUAGUUUAAUGGGGGUGGGGUGAUGGAGAUGGUGAAAGUGAUGGAGGAAAUAAAGGUGUCACUCCCCUGUAUUGCCCUAGUGCA